rnacentral:rRNA from 1 species
UGAGAGGGUGACCGGCCACAUUGGGACUGAGACACGGCCCAAACUCCUACGGGAGGCAGCAGUGGGGAAUAUUGCACAAUGGGGGAAACCCUGAUGCAGCGACGCCGCGUGAAGGAUGAAGUAUUUCGGUAUGUAAACUUCUAUCAGCAAGGAAGAAAAUGACGGUACCUGACUAAGAAGCCCCGGCUAACUACGUGCCAGCA